GACAGAGGGUGCAAACGUUGUUCGGAAUUACUGGGCGUAAAGCGAGUGUAGGCGGUUUCCUAAGUCAGGUGUGAAAGCCCCGGGCUCAACCCGGGAAGUGCACUUGAAACUGGGAGGCUAGAGUAUCGGAGAGGUUGGUGGAAUUCUCGGUGUAGAGGUGAGAUUCGUAGAUAUCGAGAGGAACACCGGUGGCGAAGGCGGCCAACUGGACGAAUACUGACGCUGAGACUCGAAAGCGUGGGGAGCAAACAGG
rnacentral:rRNA from 1 species